UACAGAGGUCUCAAGCGUUGUUCGGAUUCAUUGGGCGUAAAGGGUGCGUAGGCGGCGCGGUAAGUCGGGUGUGAAAUCUCGGAGCUUAACUCCGAAACUGCAUUCGAUACUGCCGUGCUUGAGGACUGGAGAGGAGACUGGAAUUUACGGUGUAGCGGUGAAAUGCGCAGAUAUCAGGAGGAACACCGAUUGACGAAGGCAGCUCGCUGGGAGCGUCACUGGACGCUGAGACGCGAAAGCGUGGGGAGCAAA
rnacentral:rRNA from 1 species